GUGCUCCCUUCUGCAGCACAUAUACUAAAAUUGGAAGGAUACAGAGAUUAGCAUGGCCCCUGCGCAAAGAUGACACGCAAAUUCAUGAAGGGUUCCAUUUUUUU